rnacentral:rRNA from 1 species
CAGUCGCCACGGUAAUACAGAGGGUGCGAGCGUUAAUCGGAUUUACUGGGCGUAAAGCGUGCGUAGGCGGCUUUUUAAGUCGGAUGUGAAAUCCCUGAGCUUAACUUAGGAAUUGCAUUCGAUACUGGGAAGCUAGAGUAUGGGAGAGGAUGGUAGAAUUCCAGGUGUAGCGGUGAAAUGCGUAGAGAUCUGGAGGAAUACCGAUGGCGAAGGCAGCCAUCUGGCCUAAUACUGACGCUGAGGCGCGAAAGCGUGGGGAGCAAACAGGAUUAGAGACCCCGGUAGUCCCUGUCUCUUAUAC